rnacentral:rRNA from 1 species
UACGGAGGGGGCGAGCGUUGUUCGGAAUUACUGGGCGUAAAGGGCUCGUAGGCGGCCAACUAAGUCAUACGUGAAAUCCCUCGGCUUAACCGGGGAACUGCGUCUGAUACUGGAUGGCUUGAGUUCGGGAGAGGGAUGCGGAAUUCCAGGUGUAGCGGUGAAAUGCGUAGAUAUCUGGAGGAACACCGGUGGCGAAGGCGGCAUCCUGGACCGACACUGACACUGAGGAGCGAAAGCCAGGGGAGCAAACGGG